rnacentral:sRNA from 1 species
GGUUGCAGAAAAAGUGUCUUCGCUCGGCAGAGGUUACAGGUGGCAUCUCGGAAAGAGCUUUGAGGCUGCAGGCUGUAGUCGGGAAGGGGAUCGGAGAACUGUGUGAAGGGACAGCUUAGGGACUAGCGUCCUGGGACUAGGGGGAAGUUCGCGACUUUCUGAAGACUGGCAGGAAUGUGCCUCCUGGCCCUCGAUGCUUCCCCCCUGAGGGGAGGCAUCGUGAGGGACUGUGGCAGGCUUCACUGAACGCUGAGCCGGGGAGGUCCAACUCCACGUAUGGAUCCGGGGAAUGAGAAUUCAGCCACAGAGGCUGCCGCGAUCAUAGACCUCGAUCCCGACUUCGAACCCCAGAGCCGUCCUCGCUCCUGCACCUGGCCCCUUCCCCGACCAGAGAUCGCUAACCAGCCGUCCGAGCCGCCCGAGGUGGAGCCAGGUCUGGGGGAAAAGCCAGGCCAUUGAAAGCGCCCCGGAGAAGCGACUGACACUUGCCCAGAUCUACGAGUGGAUGGUCCGUACUGUACCCUACUUCAAGGACAAGGGUGACAGCAACAGCUCAGCAGGAUGGAAGAACUCGAUCCGCCACAACCUGUCCCUGCACAGCAAGUUCAUCAAGGUUCACAACGAGGCCACCGGCAAAAGCUCUUGGUGGAUGCUGAA